rnacentral:rRNA from 1 species
GAUGAACGCUGGCGGCGUGCCUAAUACAUGCAAGUCGAGCGAACGGACGAGAAGCUUGCUUCUCUGAUGUUAGCGGCGGACGGGUGAGUAACACGUGGAUAACCUACCUAUAAGACUGGGAUAACUUCGGGAAACCGUAGCUAAUACCGGAUAAUAUUUUGAACCGCAUGGUUCAAAAGUGAAAGACGGUCUUGCUGUCACUUAUAGAUGGAUCCGCGCUGCAUUAGCUAGUUGGUAAGGUAACGGCUUACCAAGGCAACGAUGCAUAGCCGACCUGAGAGGGUGAUAGGCCACACUGGAGGUGGGACACGCACCAUGCUCCUGCGGGAGGCAGCAGUAGGCAAUCGUACGCAACGGGCGGAAGCAUUACAGAGCAGCGCCAAGUGAGUGAUGGCAGCCUUGGGAUCGUAAUGCUGUGUUAUUAGGGAAGAACAUAUGUGUAAGUUAAUGAGGCCUUAUUGACGGUAACUAAUAAGAAAGCACCGGCUAACUACGUG